CCGGGCCACACAUUUCUGAUAAAGCUUCCUCUGCCUGAUGUGCUUCCUCUUCUGUUUUGUCUAGAGUGGAAGGGUGAUGGCAGGGUGACACCAGCAUGAUCAACAGCUCUCUUCCUCAUUCCCUUCAGCAGCUCGGCACAGACGGUGUCUAUUUGUGUACCUUCUUAGACUGCUGACUGUCAAGUGUACAGAACACUUACUGACACGUCAUCUCAACACUGGCUGCAGGACCCCUGUGACAUUAACUCCUGUCUCCUGUGGACUUCACUAUCGCAUGGUUUCUCUGCAUAGCCCUAGCUGUCCUGGACUCAAUUAUGCAAACCAGGCUGGUCUCGAUCUCACAGAGAUCUGCCUGGCUCUACCUCUGGAGUGCUGGAGUGCGGGGAUUAGAGAUGUGGGCCACCACACCAGGUCUGAGAUGACAGUGUUUGUAAUCACAGUGGCACUGGAUGGAGAUUCUCCCUGCCUGCCGGUUGUUUCUAGGGAAUCACAAAUUGUCCCCUGAAAUCGAUUAUGAAGCCCCAACGCCCUGACUCAACAUUCUCUAGGAGCUUUAUUUAUGAUUUCAAAAUAAACUUAAAAGUAUCUUUGA